UGCAACCAGAGGACUCGUUCCCUCCCCGCCUGCAGAGAGAAAGCGGGUUUGAGCCACUUCCGCCUUGGCUUCACUUUUCACACCGGGCCAAAUGCUUCGCCCCCUUCUCACAGGCGGCCUAGAGGUGCUAUCUUACGGUCCUCUCGUAGACAGCCUGUGGGUGCCAUCCGUGUGUUGGUGUGAGCACUUUAACCCUCCCGCGGUGCGUUUUCAGUCCAAUAAAGUUGAUGUUAACAUUGCGGCUAGUCGAGUAAGAUGUCUUGCUCGGCCUACGGUUGUUCAAGGAGACAUUCAAAGGGCUCAGACGUCAAUUUCUUCCGAUUUCCUCUGGGUGAUAAUGAAAGGCUGACGCAAUGGUUGCUGAACGUGAGAAGAAGGAACUGGAUCCCGUCUAAAAGUUCGCGUCUGUGCAGUACGCACUUUAAGGAGGAUCAGUUCUUCAUAGACAAGGAGGUAGACGGAUACAUUUCAGUGCAUUAACUCACACAGUGAAUUUUCUAAACGUUCCAAUGCGUCGUUGCGAAAGCUGUUGAAAUACCAGACCUGUCGUGGAGGUGACUUAUCAGUAAAGACGUAUCUGAAUGUGUGGAUAGCAGCAUUUAAUGAAACCACCGCUCGACCAGAUGACGUCCGUGAUCCUGAUGGCUCCCUUUUCAUUUUUACCAACCUCUACUCAAGUUUCAUUACAACUGCCAAAACUUGGGCAAGAGGAGGCUGAAGGAGACUGCCGUGCCGACCAUUUUUGUAUUUCAAAACCAUUGGUUGAUAGAGGAUGUAACUAACGCGACCACACAGACUAACCUGCUGCGUUUGACCAACAUUGACAAUGGACCUUAUAACAUUGCCCAUGCGGAGCAAGCGCCUAUCGAGGAGGACGAUGCCUUGGACGAUGUCGUGGAUGAUGCCGAGGGUGUUUUUACCGACGUCCUUGACGAUGACAUUGUCAGGGUUAUUGUCGGUGCCGAUGUCGACGAGGUUGUUUCUGAUGACACAACUGAGGGUGCGACGAGCGUAAGCUCACAAUCAGCUUUGCAUGAUCACAGCUACCGGAGUCUGAAACAAGAGCAGAUCUAUGUGGGCACCGAUCACAACUACAUUGUUUCUGGUUCUCCCAGGACGUUGAAACGUAAAGUGGACGCAGUGCAAGAUCAGCUUGUCUUGGCUCACAAAAAGCUGAAGUUAAAGUGUCAGGAGACGAGGAGAAUGAAGUCGAGACUCUUGUCCAUGAAAAAUCUGACACAGGAGCUGAAGAAGAAGUUGAAUGCGGUUGAAAAAGCUCUUGCAGCAGUUCAUAAAUAAUGGAGGUCCAGCUCAAAGCUUCGGGGAAGAAGCUGUUCAGAAGUCUGUUAAUGUUAAAAGUCUCUUGUAGAGAUGCACAAAUUGCAUUUUUUUUAACUGCAAGGCUCCAGACUGUAUAUACUGUGUGUGUAUAUAUAUAUAUAUAUAUAUAUAUAUAUAUAUAUUUUUAUACCACCGUCUCUGAACAGUCCUGAAAAUAAUUUUCAGCUGUCCGGAAGUCAUUAUGAACCGUCAAAAACUUUAAUUGUUACCCUUUUACUUUGUUAUUCCCCUCUAUAGUGGUUAUUUGCAUACAACACACAUUUCAAAUGAAUUGGAAAUAAAUUAUUGUAUUUUAUUUAAAAGUACUUGCCAUUUUUUGCUAAUAAAUCUUGUAGUAGUAGUAGUUUUAGUUCAUAAUUCCCUCUCUUAUACCUGUUUUAUAUAGCGGAUAAAAAAACAUCUCCUUUUAAACAACUGUAUUUAUUUAGGUUCCUCCCCAGAAAUACAUUUUACAAUUGAACCCAUCAUGAUUGCGUAAUGUACGUUUGUCCAACACUCGUUUUCCAUUAGUGAAGCUUGAACGCAUCACAAUCAAGUCGAUGCAACCUCUGGUAACGUUGGCCGUUAUCGCCGAUAUUAGCAGGAGCUGCAUCUCUAUAGUCUUCUGGUGGACUUAACUCCUCAUCUCUGAACGGAACAAAAAGCUGACCGAGUGUUUAAAUGUGACGUUGCCCCGGUAACAACCUCUCUAAAUAAGUGAUGCUCUUUAAAGGAGCAGCGUUUAGGAGUUAGUCCAUUCUGGGCUAUGGCAGUGCAAUAUGAAGGAAGUAUUCUGAGGUAACGACAACAGAACAAUUAUUAAGUUUCAAGUGGCUAUUAAUGAAUGAAUAUUGUAUUCCAUUUCUGCCCAUGAAUCUCCCUAAAUCCUACACACUGUUCAUUUAAUGGAAACAGCUAAAAUAUAAUUUCCCCUUUGUGGCAAAUAUGACCCCAGGAGUGUCAAACCUUACGUGAGGGUGAUGUACAAA